rnacentral:rRNA from 1 species
UACGAAGGGAGCUAGCGUUGUUCGGAAUCACUGGGCGUAAAGCGCACGUAGGCGGAUUUGUAAGUCAGGGGUGAAAUCCCGGGGCUCAACCUCGGAACUGCCUUUGAUACUGCAAAUCUCGAGUCCGACAGAGGUGGGUGGAAUUCCUAGUGUAGAGGUGAAAUUCGUAGAUAUUAGGAAGAACACCGGUGGCGAAGGCGGCCCACUGGAUCGGUACUGACGCUGAGGUGCGAAAGCGUGGGGAGCAAACAGG